AUUGAACGCUGGCGGCAGGCUUAACACAUGCAAGUCGAGCGGGGUGAUGGUGCUUGCACUAUCACUUAGCGGCGGACGGGUGAGUAAUGCUUAGGAAUCUGCCUAUUAGUGGGGGACAACAUCUCGAAAGGGAUGUUAAUACCGCAUACGUCCUACGGGAGAAAGCAGGGGAUCACUUGUGACCUUGCGCUAAUAGAUGAGCCUAAGUCGGAUUAGCUAGUUGGUGGGGUAAAGGCCUACCAAGGCGACGAUCUGUAGCAGGUCUGAGAGGAUGAUCCGCCACACUGGGACUGAGACACGGCCCAGACUCCGACGGGAGGCAGCAGUGGGGAAUAUUGGACAAUGGGGGGAACCCUGAUCCAGCCAUGCCGCGUGUGUGAAGAAGGCCUUAUGGUUGUAAAGCACUUUAAGCGAGGAGGAGGCUCUUUUGGUUAAUACCCAAGAUGAGUGGACGUUACUCGCAGAAUAAGCACCGGCUAACUCUGUGCCAGCAGCCGCCGUAA
rnacentral:rRNA from 1 species